UCAGCUUAUCUUCUUUCCCCAGGG
rnacentral:piRNA from 1 species